rnacentral:pre_miRNA from 1 species
UGUGUACUCCCUCCGUUCCAAAAUACUUGACUUCCAUUUGUCCAAAAGUGGAUGUACCUAUAUACUAAAACAUGUCUAGAUACAUCUAUAUUUUGACAAAUAGAAGGCAUGUAUUAUGGAAUGGAGGGAGUAGAAU